rnacentral:ncRNA from 1 species
CAUAGAUAAAGACAAAUCAGUUGAAAGAUUGAGACGUAAAGCCACGGGUCUAAGGCAUUUUAAUGCUAUGAUAGCCGGGCCGCCUAA